rnacentral:rRNA from 1 species
UUUUAGGGGAGUGACAUAAGGACUGUUUGCUGCGUGAGGGGGUGGGGGCGAGGAGAGGGGCGGCCAAGGGGGACGAGGAGAGGGAACGGUCUCGGGAGACGAGCCGCAGCGGCCUCUAAGGGGCGCGUCGAGGGACGAGACGAGAGGGAGGAACAAGGGGAGAAGGAGGCGACGCAACGAAGGGGCUCGCUCCUCUUCGGAGCUAAAAAGGCUGGAGGAGGUUGUCUUCGGCGUCGACGGGGCGGGUGGUGGCGGUGUCGAGUGGCGGCGGCGUUGACGGAGGAGGCGGCGAGAGAGGACGAGCGCGUCGAGGUCGAACGGAAGGAGAGGAUCGAAGGGGGGAGGGAUCACUGGAAGCGCGAGACGAGGCCGACGAAGUCUAGGCCGCGGCCGCUCCGACUAUACCACCGACGUUCCGGUCUGCCGCUCUCUGCAUCGGCUGCUCGGGCAGCUCGAACGCUCGAGCUACCCCCGCCUCUGCAGAAGACAUGACGCUCGAGGUGGUAGGGUCGUGUAUGACAUGACGCUCGAGCUGCUGCUGCCACCGCAGAAGAACCGUCCGUUUUAAGGAUUGACAACCUCAUCGAAGCAGUAUUCGGACUUUACGUUGAACCCCCUGUUAACCUGUAGUAGUAGUCCUCCAGUCGUUGGUUGUGCUUGACGUUGUGCUUUAAAGUCCUAUUAGCCCUCCUGUCGUUGUUAUUUAAAGUC